GCAGCUCUGACACAGGAGCCCCAGACCAGGGACUCCCAGCUGUCCCACUCAGGGAUCGCACUCCACACAGACACUCACCAUGGAGACCGCUCUGAGCUGGCUUCUCCUGGUGGCUGUGCUCCAAGGUGUCCAGUGUCAGGAGCAGCUGGAGGAGUCCGGCGGAGACUUGGUCGAGCCUGGGGCGACACUGACACUCACCUGCAAAGUCUCUGGAUUCAGCAUCAGUAGCUACUACAUGUGCUGGAUUCGCCAGGCUCCUGGCAAGGGGCUCGAAUGGCUCGCAUGCAUUUAUGCUGGUAGUAGUGGUAGCACAUACUACGCGUCCUCCGUGAAGGGCCGAUUCACCAUCUCCAGCAGCAGCGCCACCAGCACGGUGUCCCUGCAAAUGACCGCUCUGACAGCCCAGGACACCGCCAUCUAUUACUGUGCCAGAGACACAGUGCAGGGACCUCAGUGUGAGCCCAGGCACAAACCUGGCUGCAGGGCCUGUGGCUCCACCAGGGGGCGCACAAUGAUCGCUGAGCUGACUCAAUACUAA